AUUGAACGCUGGCGGCAUGCUUUACACAUGCAAGUCGAACGGUAACAGGCCGCAAGGUGCUGACGAGUGGCGAACGGGUGAGUAAUGCAUCGGAACGUGCCCAGUCGUGGGGGAUAACGCAGCGAAAGCUGCGCUAAUACCGCAUACGAUCUAUGGAUGAAAGCGGGGGACCGUAAGGCCUCGCGCGAUUGGAGCGGCCGAUGUCAGAGUAGGUAGUUGGUGGGGUAAAGGCUCACCAAGCCAACGAUCUGUAGCUGGUCUGAGCGGACGACCAGGCACACUGGGACUGGGACACGGCCCAGACUCCUACGGGAGGCAGCAGGGGGGAAUUUUGGACAAGGGGCGCAAGCCUGAUCCAGCAAUGCCGCGUGCAGGAAGAAGGCCUUCGGGUUGUAAACUGCUUUUGUACGGAACGAAAAGGCUCUGGUUAAUACCUGGGGCUCAUGACGGUACCGUAAGAAUAAGCACCGGCUAACUACGUGCCAGCCGCCGCAGUAACAC
rnacentral:rRNA from 1 species